ACAAAAAUAUCUCUGGCAACAAUAGGAGCAGUCACUCCUUUGCUCAUCUGCAAGAUAAAAUGUUCUUCUGUAAAAUAGCAGGCAGACCUGUCACAUACACAGGUCACAAUGAAUGAUGAAAAUUGAUGCAUAGACACCAUAUGGAAAAUCUUCAAUAGGCACUAGAAUUGUAUGACACUUCAAACGCCGUACUCUGAAUAAUCCCAUCCUGCUUCCUGGCUGGAGGUGUUUCUGAGACAUCAGGCAGGCGAGAGCAUAAGUAUAGUGAGGGAUUCCAAGUCUAAAGAGUAUUUUGAAUCUUAAAACCAUUUAACUGUCUGAAGCUAUUUCAUCUCCUCACAACCUUGUGAAUUUUGCAAUUUCUUGAUUUACCCCAA
rnacentral:lncRNA from 1 species